UACAUGUGGGGCAAGCGUUGUUCGGAAUUACUGGGUUUAAAGGGUGUGUAGGCGGACUUGUAAGUCAGUGGUGAAAUCCCGGGGCUCAACCCCGGAACUGCCUUUGAUACUAUAAGUCUUGAAUGUUGUGGAGGUGGGCGGAACGGGUCAUGUAGCGGUGAAAUGCAUAGAUAUGACCCGGAACACCGAUUGCGAAGGCAGCCCGCUACGCAACUAUUGACGCUGAGGCACGAAAGCGUGGGGAUCAAACAGG
rnacentral:rRNA from 1 species